CCGAGUGAGGGCUCCUAGCCCAACCUCCAACCCUGUCUUCCGACCCUGUUGCCUCGGGGGCGACCCGGCCUUCCCGGCCCCGUGCCCCCGGUGGACCACUCAACUCUGCAUCUUUGCGUCUGAGUCUGAAUAACAAAUCAAUCA
rnacentral:misc_RNA from 1 species